GACGAACGCUGGCGGCGUGCCUAAUACAUGCAAGUUGAGCGCUGAAGGUUGGUACUUGUACCGACUGGAUGAGCAGCGAACGGGUGGGUAACGCGUGGGGAAUCUGCCUUUGAGCGGGGGACAACAUUUGGAAACGAAUGCUAAUACCGCAUAAAAACUUUAAACACAAGUUUUAAGUUUGAAAGAUGCAAUUGCAUCACUCAAAGAUGAUCCCGCGUUGUAUUAGCUAGUUGGUGAGGUAAAGGCUCACCAAGGCGAUGAUACAUAGCCGACCUGAAAGGGUGAUCGGCCACAUUGGGACUGAGACACGGCCCAAACUCCUACGGGAGGCAGCAGUAGGGAAUCUUCGGCAAUGGACGAAAGUCUGACCGAGCAACGCCGCGUGAGUGAAGAAGGUUUUCGGAUCGUAAAACUCUGUUGGUAGAGAAGAACGUUGGUGAGAGUGGAAAGCUCAUCAAGUGACGGUAACUACCCAGAAAGGGACGGCUAACUACGUG
rnacentral:rRNA from 1 species